GCUCAUUUGUGAGAGAGUGUGGGAGUGUGUGUGUGUGUGUGUGUGUGAGAGGGCGUGGAUGGUGAGAGGGGCUGCGAGUGUGUGAGACUGUGCGUGUGAGACUGUAUGUGAGAGACUGAGCGAGAGUGUGAGAGACUGUGUGUGAGAGACCGUGUGUGUGAGAGGCUGUGUGUGAGAGACCGUGUGUGAGAGACCGUGUGUGUGAGAGACCGUGUGUGUGAGAGGCUGUGUGUGAGAGACCGUGUGUGUGAGAGACCGUGAGUGUGAGGCUGUGUGGGAGAGGCUGUGUGUGGGAGAGAGUGGGCUGGCGAGGGAGAGGAGAGCGUGUGUGUGGGGCGUGAGAAGCGCGCGCACACGGUCGCGCUCUCGCGGGUCCGCGGCCGCCUGGCCCCGGGGCUGUGCGGCGGGCGCCUGUCCCGAGCCUCCGGCCGGCCUGUGCGCGUCACCGCCCCUGUCCCGGGCCCCGCGGAGGCUCCGCGCGUGCUGCCUGGCGGGGUUGGUUGGUGCAGCCUUGGGAGCGUCCGGUGGGGUGUCUGCCUUUGUGUGUGUUUCAAUAACUGGUUGUAUAUCUUAGUUGCAGGUCCUUCUAGUUGUGGGAUGUGGGACGCUGCCUCAACGUGGCCUGAGGAGCGGUGCCAUGUCCGCGCCCAGCACCGCGCCCAGGAUCCGAACCCUGGGCCGCCGCAGCAGAGCACACGAACUUAACCACUCGGCCACAGAGCCAGCUCCUAGGGGACUAAUCCUAUGGAAGUCCUUUAGAAUAUGUUGUCUGGCUUUUUGGAGAUUCAGGCUUCUUGAUUCUUUCAGGAGUGUAUUGAUUCAUCAUUUAGCAGGAAGUUUAGCCCUGAGCUAAUAUCUGCCACCAAUCCUCCUCUUUCUGCGGCAGAAGAUUGGCCCUGAGGUAACAUCUGUGCCCAUCUUCCUCUAUUUUACAUGUGGGACGCCUGCCACAGCAUGGCUUGAUAAAAGUCAAUGAAGAGAUGUGUGGUGAGCCAUGUUGUGAAAGGUGUGGAUAUGCUUCUACCUUUGGCUGCACGAAUACUAUAAACUUGACACGAGAAAAACUUUUGAAGAGAAUUGGCUUGUGUGUAACUGUUUAAAAUGCUCUACCAUAAUAUUAUCUUUAAUCUUAGUAAUGAGGAUCAAGGCUGCCCCAGGGAGAAGGCCAAGGCGUCCUGCCCUACACACUGAUCUAUAUCAUCCUCGGGGAAGCAUAGGACGUCCUGACUUAAUCUGACGUUAUUCUUAUCUAAAAUUAUCGGACCACCCAAUAACCACACCCCACCUGCACUGAUAACAUUUUAACGAUUUUUUUCAUGAUCCUUCCUUUGUCUUGUAAAGAAAUAACUCACAUACCUAUGCCUUAUAAAUUUAGCUCUAACCCUCAACACACUGCAGCCCUUCACUGCCCGUGGGUCCUGUCCCUAUGCUACUCCAUGCUAUUCUCUGAAUAAAGGAGCACUACUGCCAGACCUUGAGAGUCCAAGAAAUCUUCCUUCCGACUCCUCAGCUUGCUGAGCCCGCAUCAUUAGGACAACAGUACUAGAUGAAUGAGGCCAGAUCCCACUUAUGCUUUUAGGAUUUUUAUAAUUUAUAAAUUCUAUUCACUUCUAUGAAUCCCCAGGCCUGCUCUCCAAGGCUACUCAGCC
ensembl:lncRNA